GACGAACGCUGGCGGCGUGCUUAACACAUGCAAGUCGAACGGAAAGGCCUGCUUUCCCUUGUGGAUUGCGGGUACUCGAGUGGCGAACGGGUGAGUAACACGUGAGUGAUCUGCCCCCAACUUGGGUAUAAGCCUGGGAAACUGGGUCUAAUUCCCGAUAGGACUGCAGGGUGGUGCCUGUGGUGGAAAACGAUUUUCUAGUGGUUGGGGAUGAGCUCGCGGCCUAUCAGCUUGUUGGUGGGGUAAUGGCCUACCAAGGCGGCGACGGGUAGCCGGCCUGAGAGGGUGGACGGCCACAUUGGGACUGAGAUACGGCCCAGACUCCUACGGGAGGCAGCAGUGGGGAAGAUUGCACAAUGGGCGGAAGCCUGAUGCAGCGACGCCGCGUGGGGGAUGACGGCCUUCGGGUGGUAAACUCCUUUCGACCGCGAGGAAGCCACCUGGUUGGAAGGGUGGUGACGGUAGUGGUAGAAGAAGCACCGGCUAACUACGUG
rnacentral:rRNA from 1 species